ACCUGCCCUAUGAUUAGUUAAAUGGCUGCGGUAUUUUGACCGUACAAAGGUAGCAUAAUAAUUAGUUUUUUAAUUGGGAACUGGUAUGAAGGGUCGAACGAGAAAAAAACUGUCUCAAUUUAAUUUUAAUUAGAAUUUUAUUUUUAAGUUAAAAAGCUUAAAUAAAUUUAAAAGACGAGAAGACCCUAUAGAGUUUUAUAUUAAAAUAUUUAUAUAAAGAGUUGAAGAAUAAAAAUUUUUAUAGAUAUUAAAAUAUUUAAUUGGGGCGAUUAAAAAACUGAAUUAACUUUUUUUAAAUUUAUACAUUAAUUUAUGGAUAAUUGAUCCACUUUUAUAGUGAUUAUAAGAUU
rnacentral:rRNA from 1 species